UGGGGAAUAUUGGGCAAUGGGGGAAACCCUGACCCAGCGACGCCGCGUGAGGGAAGAAGGUCUUCGGAUUGUAAACCUUUGUUGCGAGGGAAGAAUAAAUGACGGUACCUCGCGAGGAAGCCACGGCAAACUACGUGCCAGCAGCCGCGGUAAUACGUAGGUGGCAAGCGUUAUCCGGAUUUACUGGGUGUAAAGGGUGAGUAGGCGGGGAGACAAGUCAUAUGUGAAAUCUCAUGGCUCAACCAUGAGACUGCAUAAGAAACUGUCUUUCUUGAGAGUGGGAGAGGUAAGCGGAAUUCCUGGUGUAGCGGUGAAAUGCGUAGAUAUCAGGAGGAACACCGGUGGCGAAGGCGGCUUACUGGACCACAACUGACGCUGAGACACGAAAGCGUGGGGAGCAAACA
rnacentral:rRNA from 1 species